GUAUACGGCCAUGCCACCCUGAACAAGCCCGAUGUCUGAUCUCGGAAGCUAAGCAGGGUCGGGCCUGGUUAGUACUUGGAUGGGAGACCACCUAGGAAGACCAGGUGCUGUAGGCA
rnacentral:rRNA from 1 species